rnacentral:lncRNA from 1 species
UUAAUAGCAGCUAUUGAAAAUUUCUUUUUUAUUUUGGCAAUUUUUAUACAUUUGUCUUUUAUUUUUUUUACUUCAAUGACUUGUACCUGAAAUAAGAUGAUAGACAUAAUGGUUCUAAUCACAUAGAGAAAACUUUUAAUCUUUCACCAAUAAGUUACUUAUUCAUUUAUUUUACUUUCUCUAUUUAUUUUUUUUAUUGAGGUAACUUUUUUUACUGAAGAUAUUUCAACUCAGAUAUUUGGAAGAAGUGAAAGAAAGAAAGAUGAUAAAUUAUUAUAAUUUUUUAAAUUGAUGGUAAUGUCAAUCAGGCCAACAACAGAUUGUUAAACAAGAUAUUAUAUAUAGCUCACCUAACUUUAAAUUUUAAGAUCAAUUUAGGUAAGGAUAUAGCUUUAAGAAGGCAUGUAUUAGGUUGAAUAUUACAAUCACCCAUUGGUAUUUUACUACAUCAUUUUUUCUGAUAAUUCAGGCGUUAAACUCAAUUUCUAGAAGAGAAAGAAAAAUCCAGAUUUUGUUCCGCCUCAUUGUUCAAGUGCUUCGUUGUCACCAUCAAGCCAUUUGAACUAUGUUCGCUCCAGUAAGCUAUGGACACACGAGAGAACCGCAACUGUGCGUGAAGAACUUGCCUCAAAUCAUUGGGUUUGGCUUCUCCUAUCAAACUUUCCCCAAGGUUUUCCAAAGCUGGAGCAGACUUCCAUUCUUCCUGAACCACACCUUGAUCAGGAGACUUUGAUUAACAUGACAGAGAAUUGUGUCCUGUGUACUUAGAAGAGGACGUGGGCUCUCAUCUUCUCCAAGAAAGUGAAAAGACCGUUUUCAAGAUCACUGAUGACUCAGCCAUAGAUGUUAGACUGACCGCAUCCUGAUGCAGGUAGGAGGAGAUGCACUUGGCAUGUAGAGUAAUCUAGGACCUUCCACAUCCUCUAGCUAAGGUGAAUUUACAUGAUUUCUUAAGUCUCUUCUAAAGGGCAAUAAAGGUUUUCACUUAGAACUAGCA